GAUGAACGCUGGCGGCGUGCCUAAUACAUGCAAGUCGAGCGAACAGACGAGGAGCUUGCUCCUCUGACGUUAGCGGCGGACGGGUGAGUAACACGUGGAUAACCUACCUAUAAGACUGGGAUAACUUCGGGAAACCGGAGCUAAUACCGGAUAAUAUAUUGAACCGCAUGGUUCAAUAGUGAAAGACGGUUUUGCUGUCACUUAUAGAUGGAUCCGCGCCGCAUUAGCUAGUUGGUAAGGUAACGGCUUACCAAGGCAACGAUGCGUAGCCGACCUGAAAGGGUGAUCGGCCACACUGGAACUGAGACACGGUCCAGACUCCUACGGGAGGCAGCAGUAGGGAAUCUGCCGCAAUGGGCGAAAGCCUGACGGAGCAACGCCGCGUGAGUGAUGAAGGUCUGCGGAUCGUAAAACUCUGUUAUUAGGGAAGAACAAAUGUGUAAGUAACUAUGCACGUCUUGACGGUACCUAAUCAGAAAGCCACGGCUAACUACGG
rnacentral:rRNA from 1 species